rnacentral:rRNA from 1 species
GGUGGUUCGCCGCCCCCGACGUCGCGAGAAGUCCAUUGAACCUUAUCAUUUAGAGGAAGGAGAAGUCGUAACAAGGUUUCCGUAGGUGAACCUGCGGAAGGAUCAUUGUCGUGACCCUGACCAAAACAGACCGCGCACGCGUCAUCCAGCCUGUCGGCGGCGACACCGUUCGUCGCUCGRCCAAGUCCUCGAUUCCUCCUCUCCUCGGAGCGGGGGAUCGGGGUAAAAGAACCCACGACGCCUAAGGCGUCAAGGAACACUGUGCCUAGCUCGGGGACGCGGACGGCUUGCUGGCCGCCCCUCGUGCUGCAAUGCUAUUUAAUCCACACGACUCUCGGCAACGGAUAUCUCGGCUCUCGCAUCGAUGAAGAACGUAGCGAAAUGCGAUACCUGGUGUGAAUUGCAGAAUCCCGCGAACCAUCGAGUCUUUGAACGCAAGUUGCGCCCGAGGCCAUUCGGCCGAGGGCACGCCUGCCUGGGCGUCACGCAAAACACGCUCCCACCCCCUCAUCGGGGAGYGGGAYGCGGCAUUUGGCCCCCCRUCGCGYAAGGGGCGGUGGGCCGAAGAUAUGGCUGCCGGUGUAUCGUGCCGGACACAGCGCAUGGUGGGCGACCUCGCUUUACUUGCGCAGUGCAUSCGACACGUAGCCGACGUGGUUGCCUCGAAGGACCCUAUGAACGGUGCGCACGACGCUCCGACCGCGACCCCAGGUCAGGCGGGACUACCCGCUGAAUUUAAGCAUAUAAAUAAG